GGGGAUUUAGCUCAGUGGUAGAGUACUUGCCUAGCAAGUGCAAGGCCCUGGGUUCGGUCCCCAGCUCCA
rnacentral:tRNA from 1 species